rnacentral:rRNA from 1 species
UACGAAGGGGGCUAGCGUUGCUCGGAAUUACUGGGCGUAAAGGGCGCGUAGGCGGCGCGAUCAGUCAGGCGUGAAAUUCCUGGGCUCAACCUGGGGGCUGCGCUUGAUACGGUCGUGCUUGAGGAUGGAAGAGGCUCGUGGAAUUCCCAGUGUAGAGGUGAAAUUCGUAGAUAUUGGGAAGAACACCGGUGGCGAAGGCGGCGAGCUGGUCCAUUACUGACGCUGAGGCGCGACAGCGUGGGGAGCAAACAGG